CGUAGGGUACAAGCAUUAAUCGGAAUUAUUGGGCGUAAAGGGCGCGUAGGCGGGGAUGUAAGUCAGGUGUGAAAUACCAAAGCUCAACUUUGGUGCUGCAUUUGAAACUGCAUUUCUUGAGGACUGACGGAGAAAGCGGAAUUCCAUGAGUAGCGGUGAAAUGCGUAGAUACAUGGAGGAACACCGGUGGCGAAAGCGGCUUUCUAGUUUUUACCUGACGCUGAGGCGCGAGAGCAAGGGGAGCAAACAGGAUUAGAUACCCUGGUAGUCCUUGUCGUAAACGAUGUGUACUUGAUGUAGCUAGGCUCAACCCUGGCUGUGUCGGAGCUAACGCGUUAAGUACACCGCCUGAGGAGUACGCUCGCAAGGGUG
rnacentral:rRNA from 1 species